rnacentral:lncRNA from 1 species
GAAACCUUCUGCUCUGGGUUCUGGUGAGCUUUGCACGUGGCCUGGGGUUGAGGCUUCCUGCUGUUUUCGGGCUGAUAGACAAAGGGGUUUCGUAAUCGCUCCUUUCCCUGGCGCUGGAAGCGAGGUCCUUGGCAGCGUCCAUAACCGCGUUUUAAAACCUUCUUGUUCCAGUGAGAUCUGAUCAUAAAAGUUAUCCUGCAGAGAAAAAGUACCAGGCCUGGAGCUUGAAUUCAGCUGGAAGCCUUUUAAGGGAUGCAGCUUUCUUGAUAGCAUGGAUAACUGACAGCAAAACCACUGGCGAAUGUGUAGUCAACAGUCAGGUGCCUGCUUGGUCCCAGAAAAGGUAGCUGAGAAAGCAGUGGCAUUCCCUGGCAGAGGAGGCAGAGUAGUCCCUUGGCGAGAGGCGGCAGCGGGACCACGCCGCUCUGCGGAGCACCUGAACACAGCGCCGAGUGCCGUGAUGGAUAAAGGGAGGCCACCUGGCUCCCGGGCCCUCAGCAGAUCCCUUCCUGCCUCUCUCUCCUUGUACACCACAGAAAAAGUCAUCCUGGUCUUCUGGCGAGCCUGUGCCAGCCUUUCUAAACGAUACUACGAGGCUCCAUCUAGAAAUGACAUGAGCUGCUUCUGGGCUGAAGCAAGGACUUCUGCUGGUUGGCAAGAGGCUCUGGAGGAGACUGCACUUACACCAAACUCUAGCAAUGUGAUUCUGCCAGGCGAGGAUGCAUUCACAUGCAUCCAGGAUCAUGCUUAUGAAAUCAGCUUGAAGACCAAGGGAGAGACGGUAGCAAGAGACUGUCAGAUCUCAGCUACUGAACAGUCUGUACGCUCACACUGCAGUGUGGAAGAAACAGAAGAUGCCUUUCUAAUACCAGUGAGAAUGUGUCAGCAGAGAAGGUUGGCUGAUAAAAGACAAGGACUAGGAGGAGACGUCUUCAGGAGCAGGACCUGGGCUGUGCUGCGGUGGUCUUUCAGCAUGUCCGGGAGCCAAGACAAGUCGGCCCUCAGUGACCCCGCUACAUUCAGCACCACUGGACAAAGAUCCCCUGUUGAUUUGGUGGCUGCAGCCAUACAGUGGGAAGGUGUUGGGAAAACAGACUUCAGUGAGGCAGCAGGACUGAACAAGCAGGAUUAAUGAAAAAAAUGGCUGUCACAGGCUUAAAAAUAGCCUGCCAUAUGCCCAUGCGAAAGCUCGGAAAGCUCCACCAGGGAUGCGGGGUCGGCGCUCGCGCCCCAGCGUUGCAGCCCCCCGCUGCAGCAGGCGUCGCGGCCUCGAGCAGAGCUGCGCAGCCCCCAUCGCACUCACAGGAACGUGCCCCGGCCCAGCCAGCGCCCCGGGGAACCGGCGGGCUCGGCUCAGCCCCUUGCCUACCAACCGAGGCGAUACCUGAGCCGUCUUCUGCUGAACAGGAAACCCAACCCGCUCAUUUUAUACC